CUGCGGCAGCGAACGUAUCACUUAAAGCGAUUCAGCGGGUUACGAUUGACGGAGCGAAGCGACGUCAAAGCGUAUACAAAGUCGAGUCGGUUUAAGGAUACGUUCGUUGGGUAGGGGAGCGUUCUGUAAGCCUGUGAAGGUGUGUCGUGAGGCAUGCUGGAGGUAUCAGAAGUGCGAAUGCUGACAUAAGUAACGAUAAAGCGGGUGAAAAGCCCGCUCGCCGGAAGACCAAGGGUUCCUGUCCAACGUUAAUCGGGGCAGGGUGAGUCGACCCCUAAGGCGAGGCCGAAAGGCGUAGUCGAUGGGAAACGGGUUAAUAUUCCCGUACUUGGUGUUACUGCGAAGGGGGGACGGAGAAGGCUAUGUUGGCCGGGCGACGGUUGUCCCGGUUUAAGCGUGUAGGUGUGUGUUCCAGGUAAAUCCGGUUCACUUUAACACUGAGGCGUGACGACGAGGCACUACGGUGCUGAAGCAACAAAUGCCCUGCUUCCAGGAAAAGCCUCUAAGCAUCAGGUAACAUCAAAUCGUACCCCAAACCGACACAGGUGGUCAGGUAGAGAAUACCAAGGCGCUUGAGAGAACUCGGGUGAAGGAACUAGGCAAAAUGGUGCCGUAACUUCGGGAGAAGGCACGCUGACACGUAGGUGAAGUGAUUUACUCAUGGAGCUGAAGUCAGUCGAAGAUACCAGCUGGCUGCAACUGUUUAUUAAAAACACAGCACUGUGCAAACACGAAAGUGGACGUAUACGGUGUGACGCCUGCCCGGUGCCGGAAGGUUAAUUGAUGGGGUCAGCGCAAGCGAAGCUCCUGAUCGAAGCCCCGGUAAACGGCGGCCGUAACUAUAACGGUCCUAAGGUAGCGAAAUUCCUUGUCGGGUAAGUUCCGACCUGCACGAAUGGCGUAAUGAUGGCCAGGCUGUCUCCACCCGAGACUCAGUGAAAUUGAACUCGCUGUGAAGAUGCAGUGUACCCGCGGCAAGACGGAAAGACCCCGUGAACCUUUACUAUAGCUUGACACUGAACAUUGAGCCUUGAUGUGUAGGAUAGGUGGGAGGCUUUGAAGCGUGGACGCCAGUCUGCGUGGAGCCGACCUUGAAAUACCACCCUUUAAUGUUUGAUGUUCUAACGUGGACCCGUGAUCCGGGUUGCGGACAGUGUCUGGUGGGUAGUUUGACUGGGGCGGUCUCCUCCUAAAGAGUAACGGAGGAGCACGAAGGUUGGCUAAUCCUGGUCGGACAUCAGGAGGUUAGUGCAAUGGCAUAAGCCAGCUUGACUGCGAGCGUGACGGCGCGAGCAGGUGCGAAAGCAGGUCAUAGUGAUCCGGUGGUUCUGAAUGGAAGGGCCAUCGCUCAACGGAUAAAAGGUACUCCGGGGAUAACAGGCUGAUACCGCCCAAGAGUUCAUAUCGACGGCGGUGUUUGGCACCUCGAUGUCGGCUCAUCACAUCCUGGGGCUGAAGUAGGUCCCAAGGGUAUGGCUGUUCGCCAUUUAAAGUGGUACGCGAGCUGGGUUUAGAACGUCGUGAGACAGUUCGGUCCCUAUCUGCCGUGGGCGCUGGAGAACUGAGGGGGGCUGCUCCUAGUACGAGAGGACCGGAGUGGACGCAUCACUGGUGUUCGGGUUGUCAUGCCAAUGGCACUGCCCGGUAGCUAAAUGCGGAAGAGAUAAGUGCUGAAAGCAUCUAAGCACGAAACUUGCCCCGAG
rnacentral:rRNA from 1 species